AGCAAUGAUGCAUUUUAUCCAAUCAUGAGUAAUCUAAGCUAUGGUUUUGUGAAUGGCACACUGUCUUGGCAAGAACAGCGUAACUUUACAAACCUGGGACUGGAGGCUCUUGGAAAUCAUACCCUGGCCACAGAGAUUGUCCACCAGCUAGGACUGAUCCAGGCCAAAAAGCCCAAUAUGUCAGGAUUUGACAAUGUUGGUUCACCUUCAGAGAUACAGAAAUGUUCCAAUGGUUUUGAAUUUCAAUUUGAUAGCAAGGGUUCUUUAAUACAUUUGAAAGACCCUGCAAGUCAGAAUGUAUGGGCAGACAACACCCACCCUCUAGGGGCAUUUGUAUACCAAACACUUAACCAGACAGAUUUUGACUUCUUUAACCGGAAUUAUCCAUACUCCCCACGCUUUCAGCUGGGCAUAGGAAAGCCCAACAUAUCGGAGGCUAAUGCCACAAGUGGAUACUGGGAUGUCUCCAUGCAGGAUUUGUUUAAGAGUAAAGAGGGAUGUAGUUUUAUUUUCCAUCUUCAAAUGUCCGAUCCGACCAGUAUGUCAAAUUAUGGCGCUCCAGCAUGUUAUUCCUGUCCCUCUUAAGCCGAUCAAGGCUGUGGAUGGAAUGGCAUUCAACCUGUUCAACAAUGUCUGGGAUGUCAACUUCAUUUUCUGGUAUCCCUUCGAAAAGAGAGACGUCAACCAAAAGUUUCGCUUUAAACUUAACAUAACUCCUGCUUGAGUGCUGCGUACUGCUCUUGUGAUAUAUUUAAUUCUGUGAUAUUUGCUGUAAUUCCAUUUUAUAUGUGUGUGGAUGGGAGGAUGGAUGUAACAAUAACAUUUUGAUGUAAGGGACAAAUUAUGUAUGAUUCGAUCACCAGAAUGCAAGUAAAAUUGAUAAAUUAAAUUAUGACAUCUGUCACUGUUGCUUGAUAAAAAUAUGCAAUAUGAAAAAUAAUUUUAGAAACCUGGCAGAGUAAUUGAAUGUUUUGUAGGCUUGUGAAAGAAUAAUGUCAUGCUGAUUGUGUGUAGUAUGUACUAAAUGGCUGCAUAGAGUCUGUUUGUUUAAAAUUGUUAUUCCAUUUUUAUAUGAAUUUGUACACUACAAUGAUGCAUGUUGAGUUUUGUUUACCCGGUAUAUUGUACAAAAUUCCUAUUCUUCAUUGUUAAUUAUUAAAUAAUUAUAACUCUC
rnacentral:misc_RNA from 1 species